CUUUAGUUGCAUCCUCGCGACUAAUGACAAUCUUCAACCGCUCAUGCGGUAAAGCCUCUCAUUAGCCGCGCGAAACGCUGCAAGCAAAGAUCACUCUCAGCAACAAUACAUGAGUUUGGUACGGAAUGCUGCGGAUUGCUCGAAAAAAGGGGCCAUAAAGGCCCCCUUUU
rnacentral:sRNA from 1 species